GAUGAAGAACGUAGCGAAAUGCGAUAAGUAAUGUGAAUUGCAGAAUUCAGUGAAUCAUCGAAUCUUUGAACGCACCUUGCGCCCUUUGGCCAUUCCGAAGGGCAUGCCUGUUUGAGUAUCAUGAACACCUCAACUCUUUAUGGUUUUCCAUGAUGAGCUUGGACUCUGGGGGUUUUGCUGGCUCACAGUCGGCUCCUCUAAAAUGAACCAGCUUACCAGUGUUUGGUGGGUAUCAUGGGUGUGAUAACUAUCUACGCUUGUGGUUUUUCCACCAGGUAACCUUCAGCAGUGGAGGUUCGCUGGAGCUCAUAGAUGUCUCUCCUCAGUGAGGACAGCCCUUUGAAUGUUUGAUCUCAAAUCAGGUAGGACUACCCGCUGAACUUAAGCAUAUCAAUAAGCGGAGGA
rnacentral:misc_RNA from 1 species